GAAUUUAUUUUGUUGCUGCUUUUCAGUUUUGCACCUGGGAGCUGCUCCUUAAAUCGAAUAGCAAUUUUGUUUUUUCUUUUCAUAGAUUGGUCACCUGAACGCCGCUUUAAGCUAUAGUGACGUCAGAAUGAGUCGCGAGAUUCCAGUCACAUUGAAAGGUGCUUUGAGUGCUAAUGACGUCAGAGUGGCAGAGAAUGGCACAAUACAAGAUGCUUAUCCACCUCGGUCAGUUAUUCAACUGAUUGAAGCCAAGGGAAAUAUGGACUCGACAAUAUGACCCGGACGACACACUCAAGUUGUCGAGGAUUGAAGCAAUGACGUGAAGAUCGACAUGGAGCGGCCUUCGUCUUAUUUAUUCGUUGGUGAUCACCAACUCAAACUUUCAAGGCUAAUUCCUUGUCAAUAUUUUGUAUUGAAACAAUAUUUGUUCGUGUCCCAAUUGAACGCUGCAUGUUUUUGUUUUAAAGUUUCACUGAAGAAAAAAAUAGCUUUUACUUUUAUAUUUACAGCAAAUUUUAAACACAGACCAAUGUCGUGAUUAGUUUGUAAAUAGGAUCAUAGUUAAGGAUGAAACAGUUUAACGACAUGGAACAUUCCUUGCAGUUUAAUUUCCACCGAGGAGUCGCAGAAUGUUUUACUAUUAAACUUUUUUUUCAAGA